rnacentral:rRNA from 1 species
GCUAAUACCGGAUGUGCCGUACCUGCACAAGCAGGUCCGGUAAAGGGAGCUUCGGCUAUCCGCAAUUGGAGGAGCCUGCGGCGCAUUAGCUUGUUGGUGGGGUAACGGCCUACCAAGGCGACGAUGCGUAGCUGGUCUGAGAGGACGAUCAGCCACACUGGAACUGAGACACGGUCCAGACUCCUACGGGAGGCAGCAGUGGGGAAUCUUGCACAAUGGGCGACAGCCUGAUGCAGCAAUGCCGCGUGAGGGAAGACGGCCUUCGGGUUGUAAACCUCUUUCAGUUGGGAUGAAGGUCUAGCGGUUAAUAGCCGUGAGACUGACCGUACCUUCAGAAGAAGCUCCGGCUAACUACGUGCCAGCAGCCGCGGUAAUACGUAGGGGGCGAGCGUUGUCCGGAAUCAUUGGGCGUAAAGCGCGUGUAGGCGGUUCCGUAAGUCUGCUGUGAAAGUCGGAGGCUCAACCUUCGAAAGCCGGUGGAUACUGCGGGACUUGAGUCCGGAAGAGGAGAGUGGAAUUCCUGGUGUAGCGGUGAAAUGCGCAGAUAUCAGGAGGAACACCAACGGCGAAGGCAGCUCUCUGGGACGGUACUGACGCUGAGACGCGAAAGCGUGGGGAGCAAACAGGAUUAGAUACCCUGGUAGUCCACGCCGUAAACGAUGGUCACUAGAUGUGGGGGGGUGUCGACUCCCUCCGUGUC